ensembl:lncRNA
AUGAUGCUGACCCCAGACAGCGUGAGGAGAUCCUUCAGCAGGAUCAAUGCACACAAAGCUCCGGGUCCUGACAACAUUCCUUGGCGUGUACUGAGAGACUGUGCAGCGGAACUUACUGAUGUCUUCACAGACAUUUUCAACAUCCUGCUUAGUCAGGCUGUUGUUCCCACAUGCUUCAAAGCUACCACCAUCAUUCCAGUCCUGAAGAAGCCGUCUCUAUCCUGCUUCAAUGACUACCGUCCAGUUGCACUUACUCCUAUACUCAUGAAGUGCUUUGAAGGGCUAGUCAUGCACCAUAUCAAGUCUGCCCUCCCUCCCUGGACCCCUUCCAGUUUGCAUAUUGGUCCAAUCGCUCGACCGAUGACGCCAUCGCAACUGCCCUCCACUCAACACUCAUACAUAAGGACAAAAAGGACUCAUACGUCAGAAUGCGUCAGAAUGCUGUUCAUAGACUUCAGUUCAGCAUUCAACACAAUCAUACCUCAACAGCUCAUUUACAAACUGGUCCAGCUGGGACUCAACACUUCGCUGUGCAACUGGAUGUUGGACUUUCUGACUGGAAGACCUCAGGCAGUACGGGUCAGCAGCAACACAUCCAGCACCAUCACACUGAACACUGGAGCCCCCCAAGGAUGUGUGCUGAGCCCCCUCCUCUUCACUCUGCUGACCCACGACUGCACACUGUCAAACAACUCCAACCUCUUUAUUAAGUUUGCGGAUGACACGACUGUGGUGGGUCUCAUUAGCAACAGAGACGAGACAAACUACAGGAGCGAGGUGAGCCACCUGGCCGGGUGGUGCAGUGACAACAAUCUCUCUCUGAACGUGGAGAAGACGAAGGAGAUAGUUGUUGACUUCAGGAGAGUGCACACUCAGCAUCCUCCUCUGAGCACCAAUGGUGUGACUGUGGAGAGAGUGAGCAGCACCAAGUUCCUGGGUGGGCACAUCACAGAGGACCUCUCCUGGACUGAAAACACAGCAGCACUGGCCAAGAAAGCACAGUAG